rnacentral:rRNA from 1 species
GAUAAACGCUGGCGGCGUGCCUAACACAUGCAAGUCGAACGCCCUUGGCAACAAGGGAGUGGCGGACGGGUGAGUACCACGUGGGUUAUCUACCUUUCGGUGAGGAAUACCGGCGAGAAAUCGCCGACAAUACCGCAUAGCCUUUGCAAAAAGGAAAGUCGCAAGACGCCGGAGGAGGAGCCUGCGCCCGAUUAGCCAGUUGGUGGGGUAAAAGCCUACCAAGGCGACGAUCGGUAGCUGGUCUGAGAGGAUGAUCAGCCACACUGGGAUUGAGAAC